CCUACGGGUGGCUGCAGUGAGGAAUAUUGGUCAAUGGACGCAAGUCUGAACCAGCCAUGCCGCGUGCAGGAAGACGGCUCUAUGAGUUGUAAACUGCUUUUGUACGAGGGAAGAGCAGAAGACGGUACCUCUUGAAUAAGCCACGGCUAACUACGUGCCAGCAGCCGCGGUAAUACGUAGGUGGCAAGCGUUGUCCGGAUUUACUGGGUGUAAAGGGCGUGUAGCCGGGCUGACAAGUCAGAUGUGAAAUCCGGGGGCUCAACCCCCGAACUGCAUUUGAAACUGUUGGUCUUGAGUAUCGGAGAGGCAGGCGGAAUUCCUAGUGUAGCGGUGAAAUGCAUAGAUAUCACGCAGAACUCCGAUUGCGAAGGCAGCAUACCGGCGCGCAACUGACGCUCAUGCACGAAAGCGUGGGUAUCGAACAGGAUUAGAUACCCGGGUAGUC
rnacentral:rRNA from 1 species